AACCCGGAGAAAUCCGGCCUAAUACCGCAUGUGGCCGAGGGGAGGCAUCUUCUUUCGGCCAAAGGAGGCAACUCCGGAGACGGAUGGGCAUGCGUGACAUUAGCUUGUUGGCGGGGUAACGGCCCACCAAGGCGACGAUGUCUAGGGGUUCUGAGAGGAAGGUCCCCCACACUGGUACUGAGACACGGACCAGACUCCUACGGAAGGCAGCAG
rnacentral:rRNA from 1 species